rnacentral:hammerhead_ribozyme from 1 species
AUCCAGCUGACGAGUUUUAAAUAGAACGAACCGUGCGUCCUAGAU